rnacentral:lncRNA from 1 species
AAACCCUUAACACCUAAUUAUUUCUGAUUGUCCUCAAAACCCUCUUCCCACUGAUUCCUUCGUUUCUGAUUUAUCAAACCCUAAUUUUCGUGCAUAAAAAAGCUUUUUCGGCCUUCUGCAUUAAAUGAAAGAUAGCGAAGAAGAGGUGAUGAUGGAGGGAAACCAAGUAGGAGCAGAAGAACUUGGAUCAAAGAGCAGCAACAAAGGUUUAUUUUUCCUUCUAUUUGUUAUAUUUCAUUAUUAUUUUUUUUUUUAAAGAUUUGUAUCAAUUUUAAUUUGUUUUGUUGUUAUUUGUAAAGAAGUUCCAUGAGUCAACAAAAUUGCAAACGAGCUCUCCUUAAUCGAAACUCAUCAGAGUUCCCU